UACGAGGGGGGCGAGCGUUGUUCGGAAUUAUUGGGCGUAAAGGGUGCGUAGGCGGCCUGACAAGUCUGAUGUGAAAUCCCUGGGCUCAACCCAGGGCCUGCAUCGGAAACUGUCGGGCUUGAGUAUGGGAGAGGUGAGUGGAAUUUCCGGUGUAGCGGUGAAAUGCGUAGAUAUCGGAAGGAACACCUGUGGCGAAAGCGGCUCACUGGACCAUUACUGACGCUGAGGCACGAAAGCU
rnacentral:rRNA from 1 species